rnacentral:misc_RNA from 1 species
UGGGCUUGACAUGUAACUGUCCCGAAGGAAGACCGUGUUUCCACGGCUGUCAGUUACAUGUCAAGCCCAGGUAAGGUUCUUCGCGUUGCAUCGAAUUAAACCACAUGCUCCGCUGCUUGUGCGGGCCCCCGUCAAUUCCUUUGAGUUUUAGCCUUGCGGCCGUACUCCCCAGGCGGGGCACUUAAUGCGUUAGCGCCGGCACGGGAGGAGUCGACACCUCCCACACCUAGUGCCCAUCGUUUACGGCGUGGACUAC